GGGAGGGGGAAAGGAGACAGAAAGGCAAGAAACGACAACCGCCGUGGUCGUGCUGGAAAAAAAAAAACAUAGCAAGAGAACAAAGGCGUGAAGUUUUUGGGAGAAGGGAGUUCCAACCAAAGGUAAUAAUAGUCUUGAGGUGGAAAGCUCUAACACUUGACUGGUUCGGGCCACUGCAGUUCACACCCGAGGACCUUGCUGAUUAUCGCGUUAGGAUGAAACAUUAUUUCUUUUACCAUUUAUGAGUAAUUUGAGGAAAUAAUAAUAAAUAAAAAAAGACUGAUGCUUAAGUAA